rnacentral:piRNA from 1 species
UACGUUGACUUUGUGCAGUGA